UUUUUCAACAGAAACUCUCUUGAAUUGCUGCUGGACUGCAAGAAGAAUGUGAUCUGUUUAGCAUGGAACCAGUAACUUUAAGCUGCAUUUCACCACCAGGCCAAGUACAGUCAAAACAUGAGAGAUCCUUAGACCAGAGGGUAAACAAGCUCAAAAGAAAAAGGAAAGACAGCUGAAAAGGAAAAUUCACCAGCAUCAGUGACUGAUGGAUGGAUGAAGCCCAGUAAAUAUAUUUUGCUUAUUGGUUUGGUUGUUUUAUGAGGCUUUGUUUUUUAUGUAAAUACAUAGGUGUGGGUGAGAAAGAUGGUAAAGUUCAGUUUUGUAAAAUGUCGUCGGCCCCCCCCCAUAGGUAUGGGCAGCCUUCCUGAC